GCGGCAGUGAUGUCGUGUGAUGAGGGCGCAGAAGUCAGCAGAGGUCAUAGUAGUGUGGCAAUGCACAAAGGACCGAGCUGAAGG
rnacentral:ncRNA from 1 species